rnacentral:rRNA from 1 species
GACAGAGGCCUCGAGCGUUAGGCGGAAUCACUGGGCUUAAAGCGCGUGUAGGCGGAUCGUUAAGUGCCUUGUGAAAUCCUGCGGCUCAACCGCAGAACCGCUGGGCAUACUGGCGGUCUUGGGCCACUCAGGGGUCACUGGAACAAGCGGUGGAGCGGUGAAAUGCGUAGAUAUCUGGAGGAACACCGGUGGCGAAGGCGGCAUCCUGGACCAACACUGACGCUGAUGAGCGAAAGCCAGGGGAGCAAACGGG